rnacentral:lncRNA from 1 species
GUGACAGUGUUUGGAGAGCGUAAAACAAUACUAAGUCCAGGAGGGCUUUGUCUUGAACCUCCUCCAAAAUGUCAAUAUACUGACCAUCACCUUCCAGAGCAAAGAGAAGUAGGAUGAUGUUCUGCUCAGGUCUGGAGAGUGGGAAGUAGGACAAAGAAGAGAUGUUAGCAGUAGAUGGCCCAGUGUGAACUGUAAUUCAAAUAGUCACAGUAUUUCCCUUCCUCUGCUUGCAGAGGAGAAACAGUCUGCCCCCCUUUGACCUCUCCUAGGGAGAGAGCCUUGCCAGGUGAGUUCCAGAGCCAAUUGUGUAUGAUUGUGGCUGUUGAAGAGACUGGGAGAAGUUGUGAGAGACCACCCAGGUUUACAUGGAAAAUAUCAGACAGCUAUGGACAAGAGAAAAGUAACAGAUAUAGACACGGGGAAGAGAGGCAGAGAAAAAAAUCUUGGGAGAGAAAGCCCUCCUAUCAUCUGGUGGUAAGACGGGGGCUUCAGAAAGAGGCAGGGAGAGCUCUGCGAAUGUUAGGUGGCUCAGUGGUGAGUUCAGGAAGUCACUGUU